rnacentral:rRNA from 1 species
UACGUAGGGACCAAGCGUUGUUCGGAUUUACUGGGCGUAAAGGGCGCGUAGGCGGCUUAACAAGUCACUUGUGAAAUCUCCGGGCUUAACUCGGAACGGCCAAGUGAAACUGUCAAGCUAGAGUGCAGAAGGGGCAAUCGGAAUUCUUGGUGUAGCGGUGAAAUGCGUAGAUAUCAAGAGGAACACCAAUGGCGAAGGCAGCACUCUGGGACGUGACUGACGCUGAGACGCGAAAGCGUGGGGAGCAAACAGG